GACGAACGCUGGCGGCGUGCUUAACACAUGCAAGUCGAACGGAAAGGCCCUGCUUUUGUGGGGUGCUCGAGUGGCGAACGGGUGAGUAACACGUGAGUAACCUGCCCUUGACUUUGGGAUAACUUCAGGAAACUGGGGCUAAUACCGGAUAGGAGCUCCUGCUGCAUGGUGGGGGUUGGAAAGUUUCGGCGGUUGGGGAUGGACUCGCGGCUUAUCAGCUUGUUGGUGGGGUAGUGGCUUACCAAGGCUUUGACGGGUAGCCGGCCUGAGAGGGUGACCGGCCACAUGGGGACAGAGAUACGCCGCAGACUCAGACGGGGGGCAGCAGGGGGGAAUAUGGCACAAGGGGGGGAGGCCUGAUGAAGCAGCGCGGGGGGGGGGAAGACGGCCUGCGGGUUGAAAACCGCUUUCGCCUGUGACGAAGCGUGAGGGACGGUAAGGGGAAAAGAGGCACCGGCUAGGUAGGUG
rnacentral:rRNA from 1 species